rnacentral:rRNA from 1 species
GAACGCUGGCGGCAGGCUUAACACAUGCAAGUCGAGCGGGCAUCCUUGUGGUGUCAGCGGCAGACGGGUGAGUAACGCGUGGGAACGUGCCCUUCGGUUCGGAAUAACUCAGGGAAACUUGAGCUAAUACCGGAUACGUGCGAGAGCAGAAAGGUUUAUCUGCCGAAGGAUCGGCCCGCGUCUGAUUAGCUAGUUGGUGAGGUUACGGCUCACCAAGGCGACGAUCAGUAGCUGGUCUGAGAGGAUGAUCAGCCACACUGGGACUGAGACACGGCCCAGACUCCUACGGGAGGCAGCAGUGGGGAAUAUUGGACAAUGGGGGCAACCCUGAUCCAGCCAUGCCGCGUGAGUGAUGACGGCCUUAGGGUUGUAAAGCUCUUUUCUCCGGGACGAUAAUGACGGUACCGGAGGAAUAAGCCCCGGCUAACUUCGUG